rnacentral:tRNA from 1 species
UAUGGCUCAGUGCUAGAGUGCUUGCCUGGCAUGCACGAGGCCCUGGGUUCGAUCCCUAGUA